UCUGCAAGAGCAACAAGUGCUGUUAGCCACUGUGCAGCCUCUCCGGAUCCACCAACCCAGUCUUACUCACCUGGGAGUGCACUAGGAGCGGCCCUCCUGGUGCCCGAAGGCAGUUGGCUACAGGCGGCUGGCUCCCGGGGCUUGCCUGAAGGAAGAUGUUGGAAGUGGAUGCAAAUGAGAGCCGCUCUCUCUGGAGCAGAAAGGAACCUUCAGGAACCAGUCAGGCAGAGCUGUUGUGAGGACAGCACUUAGCUGGUCGGUCGGACCAGCGUCGCUGUGCAGAUUUCAGUCACUUCCUGGAAACACUGGUGUCUGUUCCCAACUGUGCACCACAACGGGAAGCAAACAAGACAACUGCAGAAUAAGGAACCUGAGGCUCUGAGAUUGGGACACAGAAGUACAUGAACAAAACAACUGUGUUUCAGAGUGCCUCUGGCCGGGUUUCUCCUUCCUAGACCUGCCCACCGGCUGCGUGGUUUUGUGGCGGUGCCGUGGCUGCCGUGGCCCUCUGCUCACUCGACGUCAGAAACCAAGGGCCGGAGUCCUUGCUUGCUCCCUGGUCCAGAUGAGAUAGGCUGAGCCCUCCACAAAAGCCUCCUGAUGUCGCGAAGGAUGAGAGAGAAGCAAGCUUGGCUUGGCGUGCAAGCUGAGGUGACUGACAACUGGUCCAUUCCAGGCUUACUUCCUGAGACAACUGGGACUGGCAUGCAGCGGAGAUGAACAAGCGCCAGGCGCUCUGCCAGCAGAUAUCCCCCCGCUUCGUCACUGAAGGCUUUGGAAGUCGCUCGUGCACAUGGCAGGCAACUUUGUCAGCUUUUGUUUGUUGUGCAGCCCACACCAGCUGGUGAGCUGCUACUGCCGCGCCUCCCCUCCCGUCCUUCUGGGCUCUGGAAUCUCGGCUCGCUCACGUGUUGCCACAAACAAAACGCAUCGCCCCCGAGGAGCGUCCUACCCCGUCUCAAUGGUUCCUCUUUUUAGAGAGAUCUUUGGGGGACAGUUGGAGGAUAUAGCUUGCCAUGGUGUUUGGACACUGGGCCUGCACUCUUGAGGAGGGGACACUGGACCUAAAAUACUCCAGGGUUGGGUAGCCCUAACUCAUGUAGUGAGAGCCUUGUUUCUCCGCCCCCUCCCUGACUUUGGUAUAUAUAUUGGUUUUUUUUCCUGGUUUAUAAACACAUCCUGAACAGGAAGUCACAGUUAGCUUCUCUUAAAUGUCACGCAUGGUAACAGUGAUGGACAGAACCCAGUGCUGGGAAAACAAGGACACUGUUCCUCCAGCCUCUAAGUUCAGUGUCCCAUCACAAAGUCAUAUCUGGGAGCGGGUGAGACUCAGACUCCAAGGCACACACCAGUGCUCUUGGGACGAUCUUGAUUUCUACAACAAUUCAGGGCACUGGCUCUCUUUGCAGUCACAUGCCUGGGGCCGUGGUGUUGUAGAGGACCCCGGGGGCGUGGCUCAGAAAAUACCAUGGCUGCACCCAUGUGUUCUUUGUGAUUAGGCUAAGAAGGAGUGAUUCCCAACUCUGGCAAACAUAACAUUCAGAUACCCAUUGGCUCACAUCUGAUAAUUCAAGCUUGAUCACAAUGAGCUACUUCCAAAGCGAAAUAAUGGAGCGGAACUCUCAGCCGGGGAACCUUCCCCUCCAUAUGGUUCACAAGUUCCCUAGGAUGUGUAAUCCUACUGGGAGCGCCAUCUGUGUAGACUCCGCUCAGGCUCCUUGAUGUUCACUCUGUCUUAGACUGCAUUUUCCAGCAAAUAUACUCAGACUGAAGGCCAUGUGCCAGUCUACCUGUUCCCCCGCCACUAAUUCUAGCAACGUGUGGCUUUGACCUUUGAAGGGCAUCAUUUCAGGGCAGAUUCCUCAAAAUGGCAUAUCCUCUGCCUUAUCAAGGACCCACUGUGAGUUUCCUUUCUGCAUCUGAGUAAGUUUUACGGAUAAUCAGACACACAUUGAUGGUAAGCUCACCUUAUCUCCCCUGCUGGAGUGAAACCUUUGGAACUAAGGCAGAUCUUCUCACUGUGGGCCGCUGGAGUGUCCGGUACUGGGGAUCAGUUAAGAUCUUCACCAGAAGCAAACAAUGGGCCAACCAGAGGAAAUUACAGAAAUGGUAUCCAGCACAGAGGAAAACUUUAGGAAGGUGGAAGAGGAAUAUUGAGGUGAUUUUCCAAGUAACGUCCCCCAAACAGUCUGGCUGCUUGCAUUGAAACCUAGGAUUCGGCUCUAGUAGCGCCCGCGGCCAUUGUGUGGCAGGGAGCAGCUGCCCUCUGCCUGGAGGGAUUUGUGCACACAGCACCAUCUCGCACCCCUCUCUUGUACUCUGUUAGCCCCUUGUUGGCUAGACAGUGUGAUCUCCUGCGUUUAGACAAGUCGCAUCCCUGAGCUCAGGUACAAGGGAGCCUGGCACUGUGAACAUCUAGAAGCUUCUACUUCUAAAGAGGAGAACAAAAUUUAUGAAGUGAGAUUUGGAUGCCAGACUGACAACCUUUCCACCACACAUGUUGUGUCUUAUGUAUUGCUGCUUACCUGCGUAAAAUGAUGAGGAAUAUUUGUUUGAGGGUGAUUAGGAUGUGCCUGUGUGGAUGAAAGUAGGGCAUGCUGUAUAUAGUUGUUACCCAGUGUUGCUACAAAUAACGUCUCAGUGAUAUCAGAAGCAAAGUGGCAGCAAUCUGACAAGGGACUCAAGCAAAUGCCCUUGGAAAGGAUCUGCAGAUCUUAAGAUACAAAAAUAGUUCAACACACACAUUGAAAGGAAGAAACAGACUGUCUGUAGCUUGUGACAGAAUCACCAAGCAGCCUGACCAUAUCUGGUAGCAGGAGUGGAGGUAAGCCUUCACACGAGCAACAUCCUGCACAGCUCUCGUUUCCCAGUCAAGGGUCCAGCAGAUCUCAUCUAAUGUGAGAUGCUCAGCCAGGUGGGACAUCAACUUCAGUUGUCGCGGCAUCUUCUCAGUUUGAAGCAAUCCAUGAUCCCAUCGGUCCAUCAUUCCAUCGCUCUCACAUGCUAAACAGAGUGCAACAAUUCCUGUCCCUGCUUCCACCAAAGGUCUUGCCGCCCUGUGAUCGGCCUUACACACAGGAUCACGCGUGAGGAAGCCGUAGCAAGCCUAAAGCUGCUCAUGCCUGCUCGCUUUCCAUUCUGAUGUUUUGGAUACCUGCGCAUGGCUUUAUUUUUAAGAAGGGGUGGGGAGGGGACAGGAAGUAAUGCUGCGAAGCGAAGGAGCAAACAAAAACCAGUGAAGCAGCAGGUUUGAGGGGAGAGUUCACAGAACAGAAGAAACCGUACAGAUGUUACUGUCUGUGUCUGUCCAUCUCCCUGUUCAGCAGGAGUCAGUUUCCUGCCUCUUCCCUCAAUGCUCUUGGCUCUUCUGAGGAGGAGGAAAGAGAGGAGUCAUGGCAGUCAGUGGGAGAAGUCACAAAGCCUAGGGGGGACUUGAGAAAGGUAAGAGUCACUGCUGCGAGCAGCUGUGGUGGACACCUGCCUGCCAAUGAAAGAACUCCGUCCCACACCUCUGUUGGCAGUGUCAUUGACGUCCCUUUCCUACCUUCUUGAUGCCUGAGCAUUCUUCAAAACCCGGAUCAAGUAGACCUUUGCAUAGAAUCCUUCUAGACAGCGUGGCAUAGGAAUGCUGUCUCUGCCUAGGCACCUGCUCAUGGUCCCUGGUAUCCUGCAAAGAUGACCGCAGGUGCCUCUUCUACUAGAUGAGCAAACUAACGAGCAGUAACAGAGGUAGCAGAGCCAAAGUGCUGCCCUUCCGCCAGGAAAAGACACACAGAGCAUCAGUAUAUAGAUGAUAUAGGUACACAUGUGAGUGAUAUACAGAGAGGUAUUGUUAUAGAUGCAGAUUAUAUAUAGUACAUUCAUAUAUGUCACAUGUGCAUGCAUAAUACAUACACAUGUAGAGAGAGGACCUGGGCCUCUGUAUCUUAAUAGGGACUGCAGCAUGAUCUGGGGUCUAAGGUUGUCUCUCGUGGAUAAGGGCAGACUGCCGUGUGUUUCUCAUUUACCCCCAUGCAAUAGACACCCUGAGACAUGGACGCAGGCAGCCCUUCCCAAAAUGAGGAAACCAGGAAGCUCAAGGCUCACCAGGGGGCACAGUCCUGUGUUCCAGGGCAGCAUCAUUCAUGCAUGUGGCCCGCAUGAAUGAAAACUUUAAGAAGAGGUAUUAGGUAAGUUUAAAUGUGAUCACUGCUUUUGUAAAGCACUCUGAGAGAUUAGAUUCUUGGCAUGGUUAAAUGAAGUCUGCUGUCAUGCAGCUUGGGGGUUCAAAACAGACAGACAAUGCAACCUCAGACUGCCCUUGGGACCAUGGACCCAGAAGAGCUCUGAGUGUACCUGAUGGUUGUGCCCCAGCAUCAGAAAAGGGAUAAGACAAAUUACUCACAGUGUUGUUUCCUGUGUAAGCCUCAAUUUAAAAACCUCCUUAGGUUUUUUCCCAGGUGUGAUUUCUGCAACUGAAUUGACAAUAGAAAAUAUCAACAUGCGAUGUCCUGCUCUAGCAGGGAAAUAUUUCAAAAACAAAAACAAGCAAGCAAGCAAACAAACAAACAAAAAUCACUUUUUCUCCUCACCUCCAUCCUGAGCAAUUAUUGCCACUUUGUGACUUAGAACCAUCUUGUCACCUCCAUGUCAAACAGACAGGAAGCAGGACAGAAGUAUGCUCCAGUUGCUGGCCACCCCUUUUUCAUUUCGUGUUGAAGCAAAGAAUUCUCCUUCACACCAGUUUGCUUGUCCUGCCCUUGAUAUUAAAAUGGGGAUGCAACACUUCUUUACUGUGUGCAGCAAGGCUUGAGUGAAAUACUGAGCAUAAUUCUGUACCUAUCCCAAGCCCCAGCACCUGAAGGUGCUCAGGGAUAGGUAAGCAUUAAUUCUGUCUAUUUCUGUUCAAAUGCACUCUGUGCAUAACUGCCAUUUCAUACUUCUUAAUACGCAGAACAUCAUGCUAUAGCUUCACUCGGAAACACUGUUAGUUUUUACCCUGAAUGAGAUUUGGAAGUCUCACCCUAGGGCUGGCAAGAUGGCCUCUCAGGGAAAGGUUCCUGCUGCCAAGCCUGAUGAACUGACUUCACUCCCCAGAACCCACAGGAAGGAGAGAACUAACUCUCGCAAGUUAAAUUCUGACCUCCACACUUGGGCUAUGGCAUGUAUCUUGGGUUAUGGCAUGUAUC